rnacentral:tRNA from 1 species
GCCCGGUUAACUCAGUGGAUAGAGUACUUUCUUGACAUGGAAGAAGCCAGAAGUUCAAUCCUUCUACCGGGCA